GACAAACAAUUUAGAACUCUGCCAGAGUAUAACUCUCCCAUCUGGCUGUGGCAAAAAUAACUUGGCGCUGCUUCUCAAUCCCAACAAACUCUUUGGAUAUCAAGCGGGCCGCCUGAAAACACAGUGGGGAUGAUAUCGACCGCCGUGGCUGCACCGUCGAUGCUUACAUUCAGUAAUCAAGUGCCAGCCAGGGGGCAGUAGUGAGCCAGUGGCUGUAGCAGGAGAGACACCGUGAGACCAGCUCCCGUACCCCCCAGAAGCCUCUGUUCUGCUCCCGCUCUGCCAGAGUGGCAUCUCUCAAGAUGACAACGCCCCUGCUGGCAGAAGUACCAGUGCUGAUGAGCUUCGGCGGUCAGCUGGACGGGAAGUGUGCCGCGGCGCUGGCGAUCCUGCCGGUGACUCAGCGUUUCUCCUGCCCACCUGAGAUGAGUCAGUCAUCCCACUCGCCGUCCGGACCCGCUCUGCGGCGCGAGUCUAAAUCUGCGGCCGCGCUGCCGACCGGACCCUGCGUCAGAGCGGCGGCGGUGAUCGACCAGGGAGGGGAUCAGCUCGUCCUCCUCACUGACACAUUUCCUGAGGGAGGAAUGGGGAAAUUACAAAGCGGCUCACUUUAGUCCACACAGUCCCUGAGAGUUUUGUGUGCGCGAGAAUAAGCCGAAUGGCUUGCCAAAAUCUGAUAAGAGCUGGGAAACUGAACUGUUACAAUAAUUGGUAAUCUUUUUGGGUUCUUACCUUAUUGCUCCCCGUUGGGUUAAAGGUUUAAUUAAAACUCUUUCAAGGCAUUUCAUCAUCUUGACAGCUAUCUGUAGUCAUCUUACUCAUUAGUGAUCUUUCCAAUGUCGUUUAAACGUAGCUCUCCAUUCUCCAUUUCAUUUAAUUAACUUGUAUGCUACUUCCGAAGAGUUUUGCCUGUUUCUAACUCACUACAUUCACAGUGUGAAUUUGUUCCAAAAUGAGGGAGCCUCAGGUAAGUUUAAUGGAGGACUUGAAAGAAAUUGCUUCGGAAAGCAUUUUACAACGACAGUUAGCUCCUGAUUGUUUGACAUGGCAUUACUACUUCUCUGCGAAAGAUAAGUCUACUUUCAUAAUUUAUGUUGCCAAAAGUCUAGCAAGGAAAAUUAAUUGGAGGAAAGUCAUAAGUGUAACAUAAUGUAAGUGUUAGAGGUAAGUGUAAGAGGUGGGGUUUAGGGUUGUUUUUAGAACCCUUUUUCUCAGAGUGAUACGUUUUUGAAUCCACACAUUUAAAUUAAUGAAAUCUGAUUGAAAUGCAAAAAAGUGGCCAUGACUGACAGCCUAUACUAACUUUGCCUGAUCCAUGUGAUAAUAACGGGUUUUUGCAACAAUAUGAAAAUCUGAAUGUCUUUUUUUUGUAGUUUGAAUGUUCAUUUUUGGCACAGAAUCAAAGAUAACAGCUCAGAUUCUGCAAGGUUUAUAAAAUAUAAAUUAUGUCUUUUAUGGUAUCUAAACUGCCUCUGAUUUAAAUUGGCUCCAUCAAUCUCUGCUUAAUUAAUUCCACAUUGGUACCUGUUGUGCUCCUCACAAAAGGUAAGACUGAAGUAUGGGAAAUGUCAUUUUAAAUAGCUAUUUUGAUUAAAUGUUGCUUGGAGUGGCAGACAUAAUUCUAGUGCUUAACUUUGCUUUAUGAAUGACCUUAUGCCUAUGUUCAGGCAGCCAAGUUGAUUAAUAACUUUAAGAAUGAUAAUUAGUAUGGCGGAGUGGAGAUACAAAUAAGGAAUUUUUAGGAAAGAAAAAAAAAACUCCUCAAAAAGUCCGUCACUAUGGCAGCCUAUGGUUAAAUCAGAAGUGAAAGUUUACCACUUAUUAAGGCAGAGACCUGUGCUCAGAAACACAGAUCACACUGUCUAUAUGAGUUUAUUUUACCACGGGUAUAUCAUAUGUUUUUGUAAUUAUGCUUUCUUUUAUGGAGGGAAUGGUAACGGUGGGAGUGCAUUCAUGUGGCUCCUUUUAGAAAUUGUUGGAAAUAUGGCGGCUGAGUCACUAAGACCUGAAUGUCACUGCAGUCGCAACUGUCUGUGAGGUUCUGUCACCUGCAGAGAUGGAAAAGGGCCAGUCCACAGAGGGAGAAAUGACUGCUUUGGUUUUCGAUGACAAGCCCUGUACAUCUCUCAAAAGCAACCGAUUUGCUGACAAGAACUGCUCAGAGAACCUGCUACUUCCAACCAAACUGCAAAAACGUUAGCAUUUUUUCAUAUAGCCACUUACACAGAUGGCUACGUUUCCAGGCCGCCAGCAAUUGACCCCCAACCGCCAUUUGAGUAAAUCUAAUUAAGAUAAAAAUCGUGGCUCUGGAAGAGAGAUGAGUUAUGCUCAAUUUUGUUUUAAAUUGGGAUGAGGGGUUUGGUUGCACCACAUGCUUGGAAACAAAUGACCCUUGUUCCCUUCUAACAUUUCAGAGCGAGGAGUUGAUAUUGGCAAGCUCAGUGGCAUACUGUACCUUUGAUGUGGAGCCGAGGGUGAGGAAAGGUGGAGAAAUGCACAAUUCUGUCCUUCGCUAAUUUGCAUUUAUUGUGCGAUUCACUUUGCAGAGUUCAGACAUUGUGACUGAAAUGUUAAGCCCAGUUAGUAGGUACUUAGUGUUAACCGUUGUCGCGUAGUUAAGUUGAUUUUAUUUUACAGCGCUGAAAGUCGGGGUCGCUUGUCAGAUGAGUCAUUUGUAGCCUCUUGUUACAUGAGUCAGUCCAUUGCGGGUAAAAGAAGAGAUGGCGUAUUCCAUUAAUCCCACUGCAGCACCUCAGGAAUAUAUAGAGAGUGCAGAGAGGCAUUAAUACGACCCAAUAUUUCUCUGUGGGGUGCGUUUUGAUGCCAUCCCAUUAAUCAUGCAGAUAUGUGGGCAGCCCAGUGCUGUAUGUUAAAGGACUCAAGUGUUUCCGAGCCCAGAAGGAAGGUGGAGUUCAUCUGUCAUUUGCGUGAAUGGUGUGAAUGUGUCUGAAGAAAACACUGCGUAAAAAACCCCCUCGAGAUCUCUUCAGAUUCGCUCCUCUGGCAGAUUGGGCUCAGUGCGAUGAGUAAGAGGAGGAGAGUGAGAAGUGAGAGGUUACUCACCACCUAUUUAGCGGGGUGAGGAGCGUUUGGCGGCCUGCCACGCACGGGGGACCUCCGUCCACACAGAGUCCUCAGCUGCGGCAGCUUGAGCACCAGAAGGGAGGGGGUGCAGAUCGAAAACAUUGUUUUUAAAACCACGGAGGGAGAUAUUUAAAAGGGGGUCUGGAAUGAACCCGAAGGACAGUGGAACACUUACUACCCCAGCUGAAGGCUCACAGUAACCUGUGGUGCCUGUACACGUGCUGCUCUUCUAAUCCUCACUCUUCAAAUGGCCAGUGAUUCAGCAUGUUUUGCUCUACUGUACAUAAAAUCAUUUUUACUGGAAUGAACUUUACAUGAAAUAUGAACUCUUUUUUUAAAAUUCACAUUCCACAAAUUUUCAGUGAUUCAGCAUAUUUUGCUAUAUUAUCUCAUAACUGUUUCUUUGCAAUUGAUAAUGGACACUUCACAAGUUAAGUCUACCAAAACAAUGCAAUGUACUAUGUGCAACAGACUUUUUUCAUAUUGUAGUGUAAUUUCAUGUGCACUUCUGUUUUUAAUGAAAGAUAUAGCUUUGGAUAGAGCAAGGCAUGCCAUAGUUAUUUGUGCUUUUUUGUGCUGUAGGGUUUUGGUUUGUUUCCAUCUUAGUCACUGACCAUAGUAGGAGUGGGAGAAUUCUGCCACACCUGGAUGCCACUACCAGUUGAAUUACAAAUCACAUUAAUAUGAAUGCAUAAAGUAAACCUGGAAUGGGCAGGGAAUCAGUAUUCUUGGAGUGUCAGUAUUCUUUUUAGCAAUCUGUGGCCCAGAAAAAUGAACAAAUUGUGAGUUAAGCGGAAAGUGACCAACUGUAACAAGCAUGGAUCUCCCUCAGCUUAGAAUACUACUGAAUGGGAUUUAGCUAAAGGAAAACACCGAUGUACUACUCCUCAGUCAAAGAGGACAGUUACACAUACAGAAACUGAAAAUGACUUUUAUGACAGAGAUUGUUCAGGACAAAGGCUCAUAUAAUAACAUGCAAAUCUAAAAUUUCUUAAUCUUUCGCCUGUUACAGAUGAGUGUUUUAUUCCCCCAUCUCCAUAUCAGAAACUGAAGAAGCUGUUCUGUGCAUGAAAAUAGGUGAGUCUCUGGGGUUUGACAAGUCCUCCCUGACCUCCAUCCCAGCUUGGGAUGUUGCUGCUGUUAAAAAGGGAGUAUUCUAGAAAUGAAACAUUUUCUUAAGGCGAUAAUGGUUUAUCCAUACAAUUUAAGUCCCGGCUUUUAUUUACAAUGGGGGACAGAUUUCAUGCAAUACAGUUUAAAUUGCAGGCCAAUAAGGGCAUGUGUGCAUGAAGUGAAUGGCACAGAUUAAAAAAAAGAAAACAAAAAAAAAAACCACUCAUGCAAUAUAGUGGUUUCUGACAGUAAAUUUCCUUGUGCUUUUGUGAAUAACCUUGCCAUGAAAUACAUUGUGGGAGUUAUUGAUGUAAGGUUAGUCGGCAUGCACUAUAAUGUGAUUGAUGCCAUAAAUGCAUGUCACUGGGGCAAAUAAUCAGGAUGCAUAAUGUAAAGGGCUUGCUCAAAAGGUUUACUCAAUCAUCGGUUAUGGUUUCCAGGAGAUUAAACAUGUUUCAUGAAAGCAAGACGUAAUGAAGUGAGCCAUCCAACACAGUGAAAGGCAUUGUCGCUGCGUGUGCGAUCUCUUUCCUCAAUGCAUCGGAAAUGAGAUUUGGGAUACGUUAGUACAGUGACUUAUCAAAAGCAUCUCGCAUUUAUGAAAAAUUCGCAGAUCUCGGAAAUGUGUGGAUGGGAAUGCGUAGAGUAUCCUUGUCACAGAACCGGGAGCUGGAAACAGCCUGAUACAGGUGGGCCGCCCACGCUCCGGAGCCGCUUGCCCAGGUUCCCAGCGCAUUCGGAUUCGACGGUGUUUACAAACCCAUUAGGGCAUUUCUACAUGGCUGGGGAUCCGACCAUGCGGCAGCCCGCUGCAGUAGGCCGGAGCGCCCGGGAGAGAGAACCUGGAGCAGUGCUGCCCGAAAAGCGCUCAGCCGAGAGAGAGAGAGAGAGGCCCGAGCAGGAGAAGCCUGGGAGGACUGUCAGCCUCAAAUGAGCCGGGCCUGCCGUAGGGGUCAGCGCUAACUCCGGCUGACAGAACGCCAGGAACGACUGGAAGGUUUUAUAAAUAUGCAUCAUGCAAACUUCCCACGUGUUGCUGGAGCAUACAUGAGCAAAAACAUUGCCCAAUUUAAAUGUAUUUUUUUUUAAUCCACCAGUGUGAGUCUCAGUGCCGGUGUGUUUAUUAUGCACAGUAAGAUUGAUUCUUAUUCAGAGAACAGUAAAACUGGCUUGCGGGUGUAGCUUAAGGGAAACAGAUACAUUAUGGAGAUACACUUUAUAUGACAGAACUUGUAAUGAUUUUUUUUUUUAAAACAUCAAAUUAAUGGUUCAUUAAAGUAUAGCCAACAAAGUGAGGCCAAACUUUGUGACUUUGUGACCGAUUUGAGAAUCUAUAAACACAUCAUGCUUACAUAAGACGUGAGCCCAUUAGCUCGUUGAGAACGUUUGCCGAUUGAAGGCAAACAUACCGAUCUUGGAAAGAAUGCAAAAAUGGUCAGUUGCAUGUUUUUAUACCAAACAUAAUUGCUCACUACCUGACAAAUGGAGAAUGUCAUAUCUGUAUUUGAGGUACACAUGACUGACCACAGUCUGGGAAAUUUGACUCGGGGACUCACAGAUUAUUGGAGGGAACAAAUCAGGCAUUUCUCAGUUAAACCUACAGUACAGUAUGUCCUGAAUGAUAUUUAAUCUUUUCAGUUACCCGCUAUCUUUGGUCUCUUUUGCACGAGUGAUAUUGUAAGUUGAUAUUGUACUGGCCCUUCUGCAUAGCAAACACAUACUGGUAUAAUUAUACUCAUAAUAGUACUUGAGUAUAUACAAUAAUGCAAAGAUAUGCACCUUUGUCUAAUGAUAACAUACUGGUAUUUUCAGUUUUUAUGAGAAGCAUGAAUUUUUUUAUUUAAUGCCUUUUUGAAUUAGCGAUGAUAAAAAGCUUUCAUGUAAGAUCUAAUUUAAAAAUGCUGUCAAAUACAUCCCAAAAAAAUAAUGCUAUAGUUUGUAAUAUUUUGUUUAUCAAUACAUUAACUGCACGGUGAUGGACUGGCAAUCUGUCCAGGGUGUAUUCCUGCCUCUCGCCCAACGCAUGAUGGGAUAGGCUCCAGCACCUUCCGUGACCCUGACCAGGAAUAAUGGGUAUAGAUAAUGGAUGGAUGGAUGAAUGGAUAUUUAUUACAUUGAUGCUACUACUGCUCCUACUAUUACUACUGGAAAUGUGAAACAAUACUGUGUUCAGUGCUGGCCCAUGGUAACAACACUAUCUGAAUUCAAAUGCAGUCUUCCUUUUUAUACAUUAAUCAUAGUCACACUCUUUAUUCAGUGAAAGUAUACAACAUAACUCAGGAUAGAAUAAGAGUGAGAAGAACUUGACUUUCUCUGAAAAGGACAGUGUACAAUUUAGGAGAGAUAGAGAGGAUUUUUUAGAGUAGAGUGCGUGUUUCCUCUUGAGGAAUAUGACCUCAUCACAUUUUAAUACCAUUUAGAAUUCUUAAAUUUAGAACAUUCCUUAUUGUGUAUGUCACUGCAAAUAGCUGCAUAAUGGAUAAGGCAGAGAGAAAAGGCAUUAAAGCUUUUGCUUGACUAAAAGACACGAAGACAGGAAGAAUCAAAUGUACUUAUGAAACUCAAAUUCAACUUUUUAAUGACUUCAAAUUGCUGUAAUAUCAAUGAUAAAUAGGUCUACUAAUAUAUUUACUUAGGAAAAUUACAGAAUCUAACUUUUUGAAACUAUGCUUACAGUACAUGUUGUCAAACUGGUUACCAGGAUAACUAAUGUUUGCUGAGCAUGUGGAAAUGUGAAUAUUUCUUGCAAAUAUAAUUCUGCCUCCAUGAUGUGUAUAACAUUUAUAGUUCUCAAAAUGACUGUGACUAGGCCUUCAGAUGAGAAACUGAAUAUUUCUGGUUCCUUCAGGUUAUACAACACAUUACUUAUGUAGAAACAAAGGUAAGUUGUCUUAGACCAGAUUAUCUUUUAGUCAAGGAGUAACUUUGCAUAUCAAAGCAAAGAUUAGUUUUUGUUUCAUUAAAAUGUGCUAAUUAAUAAAAUAGACUGAUACUGAUAGAGAAUGCAUAUUUGCCAGCCCAUUUGUCAUUGUAAAAAAUCUUAAUAAACAGAAACUUCAAA